AUUGAACGCUGGCGGCAGGCCUAACACAUGCAAGUCGAAUGGUAACAGGAAACAGCUUGCUGUUUCGCUGACGAGUGGCGGACGGGUGAGUAAUGUCUGGGAAACUGCCUGAUGGAGGGGGAUAACUACUGGAAACGGUAGCUAAUACCGCAUAACGUCUCAAGACCAAAGAGGGGGACCUUCGGGCCUCUUGCCAUCAGAUGUGCCCAGAUGGGAUUAGCUAGUAGGUGGGGUAACGGCUCACCUAGGCGACGAUCCCUAGCUGGUCUGAGAGGAUGACCAGCCACACUGGAACUGAGACACGGUCCAGACUCCUACGGGAGGCAGCAGUGGGGAAUAUUGCACAAUGGGCGCAAGCCUGAUGCAGCCAUGCCGCGUGUAUGAAGAAGGCCUUCGGGUUGUAAAGUACUUUCAGCGGGGAGGAAGGGAGUAAAGUUAAUACCUUUGCUAAUUGACGUUACCCGCAGAAGAAGCACCGGCUAACUCCGUG
rnacentral:rRNA from 1 species